rnacentral:rRNA from 1 species
GAUGAACGCUGGCGGCGUGCCUAAUACAUGCAAGUCGAGCGAACAGAUGAGGAGCUUGCUCCUCUGACGUUAGCGGCGGACGGGUGAGUAACACGUGGAUAACCUACCUAUAAGACUGGGAUAACUUCGGGAAACCGGGGCUAAUACCGGAUAAUAUAUUGAACCGCAUGGUUCAAUAGUGAAAGAUGGUUUUACUAUCACUUAUAGAUGGAUCCGCGCCGGAUUAGCUAGUUGGUAAGGUAACGGCUUACCAAGGCAACGAUACGUAGCCGACCUGAGAGGGGGGACCGGCCAAACGGAAACGGAGAAAGGGUCCAGAUCCCAAGGGGAGGCAGCGGAGGGAAAUUUUCGGAAAUGGGGGAAGGCUGAACGAGGAAACGCCGGGGGAGGAAUGAGGGUCUUCGAACCGUAAAACUUUGUAGUAAGGAAGAAAAAAUGGGGAAGGAACCAGGGAAGGCUUGAAGGUAACUAAUCAGAAAGGCAAGGCUAAAUUAGUG